CUCUGUUCAGCUCUUCAAGUGGUUGUGGCUUGGAGUGAUCUUGGUUGCUUCUGGAUUUGUCACACAGUAUUCAUCUUGGGAUAAUAGUUUGAAACUUGUUCAUCUGUGCAGAAAGCUACAACUCACACACUGCUGAAGCAAGAACUCCUCCCUCCAGUGAUCACAUGAGCCCCUGUGAAUUCUUGACAGGGCCAGCAACGAGC
rnacentral:lncRNA from 1 species